rnacentral:rRNA from 1 species
GAUGAACGCUAGCGGCACGCUUCAUACAUGCAAGUCGAGGGGCAGCAUAAAGUACUUGUACUUUGAUGGCGACCGGCGAACGGGUGCGUAACGCGUAUGCAACUUACCUUUUACUAGAGAAUAGCCAAGAGAAAUUUUGAUUAAUGCUCUAUACUCUUUUUAACUCACAUGAGAUUUUAAGAAAAGCUCCGGCGGUAAAAGAUGGGCAUGCGUCCUAUUAGCUUGUAGGUGAGGUAACGGCUCACCUAAGCUCCGAUAGGUAGGGGUCCUGAGAGGGAGAUCCCCCACACUGGUACUGAGACACGGACCAGACUUCUACGGAAGGCAGCAGUAAGGAAUAUUGGACAAUGGAGGAAACUCUGAUCCAGCGAUGCCGCGUGAAGGAAGACGGCCCUAUGGGUUGUAAACUUCUUUUAUACAGGAAGAAACCUUUCCACGUGUGGAAAGCUGACGGUACUGUAAGAAUAAGGAUCGGCUAACUCCGUGCCAGCAGCCGCGGUAAUACGGAGGAUCCAAGCGUUAUCCGGAAUUAUUGGGUUUAAAGGGUCCGCAGGCUGUUUGUUAAGUCAGGGGUGAAAUCCUACCGCUCAACGGUAGAACUGCCUUUGAUACUGGCAAACUUGAGUUAUUGUGAAGUAGUUAGAAUGUGUAGUGUAGCGGUGAAAUGCAUAGAUAUUACACAGAAUACCAAUUGCGAAGGCAGAUUACUAACAAUUAACUGACGCUGAGGGACGAAAGCGUGGGUAGCGAACAGGAUUAGAUACCCUGGUAGUCCACGCCGUAAACGAUGGUCACUAGCUGUUCGAUGUACAUUGGUACAUUGAGUGGCUAAGCGAAAGUGAUAAGUGACCCACCUGGGGAGUACGCUCGCAAGAGUGAAACUCAAAGGAAUUGACGGGGGCCCGCACAAGCGGUGGAGCAUGUGGUUUAAUUCGAUGAUGCGCGAGGAACCUUACCAGGACUUAAAUGUAAGUUGCAUGAUUCAGAAAUGGAUCUUUCUUCGGACUACUUACAAGGUGCUGCAUGGUUGUCGUCAGCUCGUGCCGUGAGGUGUCAGGUUAAGUCCUAUAACGAGCGCAACCCCUAUCGUUAGUUGCCAUCAAGUAAAGUUGGGAACUCUAGCGAAACUGCCGGUGCAAACCGUGAGGAAGGUGGGGAUGACGUCAAAUCAUCACGGCCCUUACGUCCUGGGCCACACACGUGCUACAAUGGUCAGUACAGAAAGCAGCCACUAUGCGAAUAGGAGCUAAUCUUCAAAGCUGAUCUCAGUUCGGAUCGGAGUCUGCAACUCGACUCCGUAAAGCUGGAAUCGCUAGUAAUCGGAUAUCAGCCAUGAUCCGGUGAAUACGUUCCCGGGCCU